rnacentral:misc_RNA from 1 species
GGACGGUCUCCUUUGAGGAACAUAAUCUUCAUCGAUGAUGAUGAAAGCAAUGGAAAUGAAUAUCCUAAAUUUGGUCUGGAAGAUGACCACCACUUCUUUCAUGACCCAUCCCCUAGCAUGAGACCAUGCUCAAGCUCGAGAAGUGCUAAAGAACCUCUAGAUGAAAUUGAUGAUGACUGUCAGUUUGUUCGAGAAAAUAUUUCCCCAGUGAAGUUAUCAAAAUGUAAAAGAACUUACUCUGGAAAAAGUCCUGUCCAAAAUCGUUAUGGUUUGAUGUCUGAUUCAGAGAGUAGUUCAUCUGAUGAUGAUGAGG